CUACUACUCCCUCCGUUCCAAAUUACUCGUCGCUGAAAUGGAUGUAUCUAGAACUAAAAUACAUCUAGAUACAUCCAUACGUGCGACAAGUAAUUCGAAACAGAGGGAGUAUGAG
rnacentral:pre_miRNA from 1 species